AACGAACGCUGGCGGCAUGCCUAACACAUGCAAGUCGAACGAGAUCUUCGGGUCUAGUGGCGCGCGGGUGCGUAACGCGUGGGAAUCUGCCCUUUGGUUCGGAAUAACAGUUGGAAACGACUGCUAAUACCGGAUGAUGACGAAAGUCCAAAGAUUUAUCGCCAGAGGAUGAGCCCGCGUAGGAUCAGCUAGUUGGUGUGGUAAAGGCGCACCAAGGCGACGAUCCUUAGCUGGUCUGAGAGGAUGAUCAGCCACACUGGGACUGAGACACGGCCCAGACUCCUACGGGAGGCAGCAGUGGGGAAUAUUGGAAAAUGGGCGAAAGCCUGAUCCAGCAAUGCCGCGUGAGUGAUGAAGGCCUUAGGGUUGUAAAGCUCUUUUACCCGGGAUGAUAAUGACAGUACCGGGAGAAUAAGCUCCGGCUAACUCCGUGCCAGCCGCCGCCGUAA
rnacentral:rRNA from 1 species